GAUGAACGCUAGCUACAGGCUUAACACAUGCAAGUCGAGGGGAAACGGCAUCGAAAGCUUGCUUUUGAUGGGCGUCGACCGGCGCACGGGUGAGUAACGCGUAUCCAACCUGCCCAUCACUUGGGAAUAACCUUGCGAAAGUAAGACUAAUGCCCAAUGACAUCCCACGAAGGCAUCCGAAUGGGAUUAAAGAUUUAUCGGUGAUGGAUGGGGAUGCGUCUGAUUAGCUUGUUGGCGGGGUGACGGCCCACCAAGGCAACGAUCAGUAGGGGUUCUGAGAGGAAGGGCCCCCCAAAUGGAAAUGGGGAACGGUCCAAAACUCCAACGGGAGCAGGAGUGAGGGAUAAUGGGUCAUGGGCGAGAGCCUGAACCAGCCAAGUAGCGUGCAGGAUGACGGCCCUAUGGGUUGUAAACUGCUUUUAUAAGGGAAUAAAGUGGGUCACGUGUGACUUUUUGCAUGUACCUUAUGAAUAAGGACCGGCUAAUUCCGUG
rnacentral:rRNA from 1 species